rnacentral:rRNA from 1 species
AGAGCGAACGCUGGCGGCAGGCCUAACACAUGCAAGUCGAGCGCCGUAGCAAUACGGAGCGGCAGACGGGAGAGUAACACGUGGGAACGUACCCUUUGGUUCGGAACAACACAGGGAAACUUGUGCUAAAUACCGGAUAAGCCCUUACGGGGAAAGAUUUAUCGCCAAAGGAUCGGCCCGCGUCUGAUUAGCUUGUUGGUGAGGUAACGGCUCACCAAGGCUACGAUCAGUAGCUGGUCUGAGAGGAUGAUCAGCCUCACUGGGACUGAGACACGGCCCAGACUCCUACGGGAGGCAGCAGUGGGGAAUAUUGGACAAUGGGCGCAAGCCUGAUCCAGCCAUGCCGCGUGGGUGAUGAAGGCCCUAGGGUUGUAAAGCCCUUUCGGCGGGGAAGAUAAUGACGGUACCCGCAGAAGAAGCCCCGGCUAACUUCGUGCCAGCAGCCGC